UGGGAUUCUCUCUGUGUGCUCCAUCACUACGGGAGCUGGUGGGCAGGGACGUACCCUUCACCGUACCACAAGGAAGGUCUCACUGUGGGAUGUGUGCGUGUUCUCUCACUGCUUCCUCAGACACAUCAAGCUGUGUUGAAAUCCCGUUCCUCCCCAUACACAAAUGCCUCUGGCACAAGGGAAAGCAGAACUCGGCCUUAAAACUUAGCACGUUUUCCUUCCCUGUCAACAUUCACCACCGCGUACAGCCUGGCUGCCGGUUCUCCUUCACGCCGUGACCCCUCCCAAACCACCCGAUCUCUCAUUUGCCCUUUCUGUGAAGCAAGGACGAUGCCUUCUAUUGGAACACACUGCAAUUAAAAGAUGGAAUACUCUGCAAUUGCUAAAGCUGUAUUAUUGCCACCGAUCGAGAUCUUUCCCAGCUCAGCGGUUGCCUAAUCCCGUUAGUCACACUCAGAGGCUUCCCCCUCCUUUAGCAGCUCAAAUCCCUGCAGUGUUUUGUGACUGCAGCAAUCCAUGGUCCUGUAUCAGAAUGCACAGAGCGUGAUGUGCCCCCAGCGCUCCUUUUGGGGCUAGUUUUGCCUUUUAAAGGUUUCCACUGUCACCCGUGGGGACAGAUUGGCGUCACACCGAGCUAGAUCCUGGGCAGAGCACGAAUUGGUUGUAAUUGGUGUGGUUUAGGUCAAAUUAGCUGCAAAAAUCACUGUGUUAUGGGCGUCCCAGCACCCGCUCGCAGGGACGGGGGUUGGAGGGGGUCAUUGUGGGUACCCCCACAGGCUGGGACUCGGGUAAACUGAGGCAGGGGCUCAAUGGAGUCCCCCCGCUGCGGGGAAGGGGCGGGCGGAUGGGAUCGGCGCCGUCGCACCGCGUUUGUGCCGCUUGAAGGCGGUGCCGCCGCUCCGGGCUCGGUCGGGCACCGGGAAGAGGAACUGGGCUUUGCACUGCCGGGUCGGGGCGAACGCACCGCCGAGCACCGGGGUCCCGCUGCCGCUUUGCUGCGCUGCAAAGGGAGGGAUGGGGCGGGGAGGAGGCGAGCGCCGGUCUUUGCAUCCCCCCUUUGCAGCCCCUCUGCUCCCUGUUGCAUCCCCCUUGUACCCUCCCGCUCCUCCCUUCUGCUGCAAGGGGCCGGGCAGAUCCAUACCUGGCUGCUGUGCAGCACUGAAGGCAGAAGCAGCCCUUUCCCUCCUUCCCAUCCACUGGCCCUGCAAGGCAGUGGGAAACAGCUGGAAGGCACUGGGUGGUGGGGAAGGGAAGGCAGGACCCUCAUG